AACAAAUAAACAAUAAAUAGAUAAAGAAAGGGGAAACAAUAGAAUGAAAGAAAGAAUGAAUGAAAAAAAGAAAGAAAUUUAAAAAAGAGAGAAAAUAAAUAGAUAAAAAGAUAUACAAACGAGCUGUUUUCAGUUACUGACAAUAAUAUCUGUUUUCGAGUAGAUUUUAUUUUGUCUGCACCGAGUCUGUUUUAAAAGCACAGGUUGUUAAAAUUGACAACGCUAAUAGGAGAAAUAAGAUAUCUACCAUUACAUUAUCCUGUUUUUAAUGCUUAAGCCCUCCCCUUUUCCAGAAAAAAAAAUACACGCACACACAAACAAUAUUCCAACAAAAACCAAUUUAGAGGGACAGCAAAACUUUAUACAGACACACACCGUUUAUCAAAGCUACAUUUCGAC
rnacentral:lncRNA from 1 species